rnacentral:rRNA from 1 species
CCUACGGGAGGCAGCAGUGGGGAAUAUUGCACAAUGGGGGCAACCCUGAUGCAGCGACGCCGCGUGAGUGAAGAAGUAUUUCGGGAUGUAAAGCUCUAUCAGUAGGGAAGAAAAUGACGGUACCUGUUUAAGAAGCCCCGGCUAACUACGUGCCAGCAGCCGCGGUAAUACGUAGGGGGCAAGCGUUAUCCGGAUUUACUGGGUGUAAAGGGAGCGUAGAUGGCAGCUCAAGUCUGGAGUGAAAUGCCGGGGCUUAACCCCGGAAUUGCAUUGGAAACUGGGCAGCUAGAGUGCAGGAGAGGUAGGUGGAAUUCCUAGUGUAGCGGUGAAAUGCGUAGAGAUUAGGAGGAACACCGAUGGCGAAGGCGGCUUACUGGACUGUAACUGACGUUGAGGCUCGAAAGCGUGGGGAGCAAACAGGAUUAGAUACCCUUGUAGUC